UACGAAGGGGGCUAGCGUUGUUCGGAAUUACUGGGCGUAAAGCGCACGUAGGCGGAUACUUAAGUCAGGGGUGAAAUCCCGGGGCUCAACCCCGGAACUGCCUUUGAUACUGGGCAUCUCGAGUCCGGAAGAGGUGAGUGGAAUUCCGAGUGUAGAGGUGAAAUUCGUAGAUAUUCGGAGGAACACCAGUGGCGAAGGCGGCUCACUGGUCCGGUACUGACGCUGAGGUGCGAAAGCGUGGGGAGCAAACAGG
rnacentral:rRNA from 1 species